rnacentral:lncRNA from 1 species
CUUAGAGCUUAAUACAGUUAAAAAAAACGUAACAAAUACUUUACAAACACUUAACAAACUAACACCUAAGCAUCACACUUCACACCUUUACACUUUCACACUUAAACACAUAACAACUUAACACACAAAUACACUCACACACUUCACACUUAAGAAACACUAACACUUAAAUAUCAUACUUAACACUGCACGCUUUCACAAAUAAAUACUUAAACACCCAAACACUUAACACCUAACUUCACAUACUUCACACGCCUCACUAUUCACACUUAACAAACAAUAACACUUAAACAUCAUACUUUACACUGCACAUUUUCACACGUAAAUACCUAAACACUUAACACCUUAAUACCUAAACACCUAACUUAACACUUCACACACUUCACAAACUUCACACUCUUCACACUUCACACACUUCACACUCUUCACAACUCCUAACUUCACACUCUUCACACUUCACACAUCACACUUCACACUCUUCGCACUCCGCACUCUUCGCACUCCGCACACUCCGCACUCCGCACUCCGCUCCGCACUCCGCACGCCGCACGCCUUUCUCUCUCCAAAGCACUCUUCACAACACCUAACUUCAUACUUCACACACUUUACACUCUUCACACUCCGCACUCCGCACUCCGCACUCCGCACUCCGCACUCUUCACACUCUUCACAACACCUAACUUCAUACUUCACACACUUUACACUCUUCACACUUCACACUUCACACACAUCACACACACUUCACACUUCACACUUCUCACUCUUUACACUUCACAUUUCACACUUUACACUCGUCACACUUCACAAUUCACAAUUGGCACUUCACACACUCGAACACUUCAUACUCGUCACACUUCACACUUCACACUAUUCACACUUCCCGCACUUUGCACAUUGUCACACUUUGUCACACUUCACAUUUGUCACACACUUCACACUUCACACAUUUCACACACUUCACACUUUACACUUCACACAACACACUUCACACUUUUCACACACUUCACAAUAAGCGCAAAACAAAAUACUUACAAAACACUUCUCAAAGACCUAACAAACAAUAACACUUAAAUAAACACUUAAAAAUCACACUUCACGCUUUACACCAAACCACCCAAACACACAAACACUUAACCACUUCAAACCACUUCACCCUUCAUACUACACACUUCACACUUUAAAACAAAUACUUAAGCAUUUCAUACUUAAAUAAAUACACUAACAUUUAACACCUAAACACAAACACACAAACACUUCACACUUAAACACUUAAUAGCUCACCACAAACACCUAAACACACAAACAAUUACACUUAACAAACAAUUACAAAACACUUCACCAACAGUUAACAAACACUAACACUUAAAAAUUACACAUCACACUUAAAAAAAACACUUUAACACUUUAACACUUAAACACACACUUUAACACUUAACACCUAAGCACACACUUUAGCACUUCACACUCAACACAUAAACACACACUUUAACACUUAACGCUUCAAUACCUAAACACCUAAAUACCUAAACACCCAAACACCUCAACACUAAUUGAUUUUAGAUGUACUAUUCCUAGAGAACUUAUAUUUAUAUUAUAAUAUAGGAAAGAGACUUAUUCAAGUAUAUAAUUUCUAUGAAUAAAAUUAUAUUUCAAAAACAUGUUUAAAUGCAAAACGAAAUUUAAAAAUUUAAAAAUUACAAAAAAUCAUUAUCCUGCCACGCACUCUAAUAUAUAGAAAUAAGAAGCUCUUUUACUUCAAUAAAAAUUAGAAAGCACCCGUCAAGUUUUGGCUUCCUCUUCAUCUACUACCAAUAUAUUGUUGUGUAGUGCCAACUGUGCUUCUUCUAUCUGCAAACAAAAGAGUGAUUUAUGAGAAAACAGAGAUCAACUGCAAAAUAAAGCUAGAGCACUCAAUUUGCAUCAUCAUAUGAAUUUAUAAAUCCAUAUGCUCUUACCAACUCAAUAUGAUAAUUAACCUAGAACCUUGAUAAAUGGCAUGGAUUCAAAAUCUCCUGCAAGCAUAAAAGCUGAUCGUAACAAACAGAAAAUUUUGAAAAUAAAUGUUACUGUCAUUUAUUGUAACUGUACCUAGAGUGUCAUCCAAUUCAAUGACACAUAUCUGUAGGUCCAGACAUGCCUUCCACUGGUAUCAUUGUUACGCGUCCAAUCCACUUUUGAAUAGCAUCUAUAACAUGAGGAACAAUCUAUAGGUAGCAACAUUACACAAAGGCUAUUGCAAGCCACAAUAGCUUAUGGGUACAACAGUUAUUAAAUAUCUGGAGAGUUUUUGUCAGAUAGUCUCCCCUUCUUUUCUUAUCUAUAACAUGCCAAACGGGAAAAAAAUUAUUAAAAAGAAAUCAGCUAGCUGAUUAUUCUUUUUGGUUUCUCCUAGUAGGAGACACAAAAAUAAUCAAAAGAGAUGUGCAAGUUAAUCUCACCUGGUAAAUUUUUCCAGUACUGAUAUUAUUGUCUCUUCUCAACUUGAUAUCCAGAAAAUUCAUAAUUUCUGAUGUCCAGGUUCACCUUUCAAACAACAGGAAAAAGUUAAUUAUGAUCAUAAAUUGGAAAAUUCACCUUUUGUAUAUAGAUUUCUCCGUAAUAUCAACAAAAAAAAAAAUUUUUUUUACUUUUACUUAAAAGAGGAGGAAGAAAGGAAGAGGAAGAGACCUAUUUGAUUAAAAUAACACGAAUACUAAAAAUCAACUACUAACUACUAACCACAAACUCUUAACCCUAACCAUAACCUUAACCAUAUACUAACCCUAACACUUCACAAACACUUAACAAACACUUCAAAAACACUAAACAAACAAUAAACACUUGAACAUUAUACGUAAACUUCAUACUUAAGUGUUUGUACAAAUACUUAAAAAACAAUUAACAAAUACUUUAACAAACACUUCACAAACACUUAACAAACACUAACAUUUAAGCAUCACACUUCACACUUAAACACUAAACACCUUAACACCUUAACACACAAACAUACUCACACGCUUCAAACUUAACAAACAUUAACACUUAAACAUUACACUUUAUACUUUCACACUUAAACAAUUAAACAUUUAACACUUAAACACAAAAAAAAAAAGUUACACACUUGUACACUUCAACAAACACUUAUACCUAACAAAAACUUAACAAAACACUUCAAAAAUACUGCACAAGGACUUAACAAAUACUAACACUUAACAAACAGUAACACUUAAAUAUCACACUUCACCCUUAACACCUAAACACACAAACACUUUAACAGUACACACUUCAAACCACUUCACACUUAAAUAAACAUUUUAACACUUCACACUUAAAUAAACACUUUAACUUUUAACACCUUAACACAAACACUUCACACUUCACAAACAGUACCAUAUACCAAACACUACAACUUAAACAUCACACUUCACACAUAAGUGCUUAACACCUUAAGAGCUUAAUACACUUAAAAAAAACGUAACAAAUACUUCACAAACACUUAACAAACAAACACCUAAGCAUCAAACUUCACACUUCACACCUUCACACUUAAACACUUAACACCCUAACACACAAAUACACUCACACACUUCACACUUAAAAAACACUAACACUUAAACAUCACACUUCACACUACACGCUUUCACACAUAAACACUUAAACACCUAAACAAUUAACACCUUAACACCUAACUUCACAUACUUCACACGCAUCACACACUUCACAUUUCACACUUAAGAAACAAUAACACUUAAACAUCACACUUCACACUGCACAUUUUCACACGUAAACACCUAAACACUUAACACCUUAACACCUAAACACCAAACUUAACACUUCACACACUUCAUAAACUUCACACUCUUCACACUCUUCACACUUCACACACUUCACACUCUUCACAACACCUAACUUCACACUUCACACACUUCACACUUCAUACUACACUUCACACACAAUUCACACACUCUUCGCACUUCACACACUCUUCGCACUUCACACUCGUCACACUUCACACUUCACACUUCACACUUCACACUCGUCACACUUCACACUCGUCACACUUCACAUUUCACACUCGUCACACUUCACACUUCACACUUCACACUCGUCACACUUCACACUCUUCACACAUCACACUUCAUACUUCACACAACACACACUUCACACUUCACACUCUUCAUACUCUUCACAACACCUAACUUCAUACUUCACACACUUCACACUCUUCACACACUUCACACAUCACACACUUCACACAACACUUCACACACAAUUCACACACACUUCACAUUUCUUACUUCUCACUCUUUGUACUUCACAUUUCACACUUCACACUCGUCACACUUCACAC